rnacentral:tRNA from 1 species
UUCCCGGGUGGUCUAAUGGCAGGACACAGGCUUUUGGUGCCUUGAGGUGAGGGUUCGAAUCCUUCCCCGGGAGCCC